GAUGAACGCUGGCGGCGUGCCUAAUACAUGCAAGUCGAGCGAACAGAUGAGGAGCUUGCUCCUCUGACGUUAGCGGCGGACGGGUGAGUAACACGUGGAUAACCUACCUAUAAGACUGGGAUAACUUCGGGAAACCGGAGCUAAUACCGGAUAAUAUAUUGAACCGCAUGGUUCAAUAGUGAAAGACGGUUUUGCUGUCACUUAUAGAUGGAUCCGCGCCGCAUUAGCUAGUUGGUAAGGUAACGGCUUACCAAGGCAACGAUGCGUAGCCGACCUGAGAGGGUGAUCGGCACAACGGGAACUGAGACACGGUCCAGACUCCUACGGGAGGCAGCAGUAGGGAAUCUUCCGCAAUGGGCGAAAGCCUGACGGAGCAACGCCGCGUGAGUGAUGAAGGUCUUCGGAUCGUAAAACGCUGUUAUUAGGGAAGAACAAAUGUGUAAGUAACGAUGCACGUCUUGACGGUACCUAAUCAGAAAGCCACGGCUAACUACGU
rnacentral:rRNA from 1 species